UACGUAGGGGGCAAGCGUUGUCCGGAAUCAUUGGGCGUAAAGAGCGUGUAGGCGGCUCGGCAAGUCCGCUCUGAAAGCCCGGGGCUCAACCCCGGGAGGCGGGCGGAUACUGUCGGGCUAGAGUCCGGAAGAGGCGAGUGGAAUUCCUGGUGUAGCGGUGAAAUGCGCAGAUAUCAGGAGGAACACCAAUGGCGAAGGCAGCUCGCUGGGACGGUACUGACGCUGAGACGCGAAAGCGUGGGGAGCAAACAGG
rnacentral:rRNA from 1 species